UACGUAGGGUGCAAGCGUUGUCCGGAAUUAUUGGGCGUAAAGAGCUCGUAGGCGGUUUGUCGCGUCUGCUGUGAAAACUCGGGGCUUAACCCCGGGCCUGCAGUGGGUACGGGCAGACUAGAGUGCGGUAGGGGAGACUGGAAUUCCUGGUGUAGCGGUGAAAUGCGCAGAUAUCAGGAGGAACACCGGUGGCGGAGGCGGGUCUCUGGGCCGUAACUGACGCUGAGGAGCGAAAGCGUGGGGAGCGAACAGG
rnacentral:rRNA from 1 species